rnacentral:lncRNA from 1 species
AGACUACAUAAUGCCUAAAACUAAAAACUAUCAAGAAAAAGGAAAAUGAUAUUAUUUAGAGAUAUGGAGGCAAAAUGCUGAAAGCUAUGAAAGUGGGAUGAUUGUCUUGGAGAAGCUGGAUAUGGGGCAGGCUGGGGAGGGCAGAGGAUUGGCAGACCGCAAGAACAGUGAAACCGAUAACACUGUCUGCUACUCUAACACACUACACCAAUUAAGUUACCAAAAUCUGAUGACUUUGUCUUCCUUACCCUGCGAUUUUGCCUGUGUCUGAAGUGGUUGUUUUGUCAUGAAUUCUUAUGCUUAUAAUAUCCUUUGUGGUACCUUUUGUUUUUCUCCCUAAACUGUACAUGUGAAGGGGAUGAGCUCAAGCAGGA